UAUCAUAGUUUCAUUCUUAAGGAAGUUUUUCUUUUCCUGGGUUCUGAUUCUCGGCUUAUCCUACAAUUUGACAGGUGCAAAGAAAAAUGAAGGGAUAAUUCUAGUUGCUGAUAGUAUGGCUGUAACCGCAAUGGUCCAGCUAGCAAUGCAAUAUAUUGAAACUAAGAUUGAGCUAAUUAAGACCCUUAAUAGCGUAUCUGCUGGAAAGAUAUAUGUUGAAAUAGAGAGAGCACAUUUGAUUAAGAGGCUUGCAAAGAUUAAGGAAGAACAAGGACAAGCUGCCUGCAAAGGAUGUGUAUAUUUCUUACCAUCCUCUAGCACAUAUUUUUGACAGAGAUUGAGGAGUGUGUUAUAUAAAUCGAGCCUCAGUUGGUAUUUUGGCGCAAAAGACAUAUGCAAGAAUGCAUGGAAGGUAAUCCAAGUGCUAAAACAAUGAAAAACAUGUCAAGGGAUUUUGCUGUUCUUACUAUUCAUUUCACAAUGAGUUCCCCUAAGGUAU